ACUGGUUUAAGGUGAACCUGCGGAAGGAUCAUUACAUCAGCUAUAACUUUCUUUGAUCAUAAAUUCUAAAUGGAAUAACCGAGGAAAAGCCUGGGCUAAUACAUGCGACAAUUCCGGUAGCAAUAUCGGAAUGCUUUUAUUAGAUCAAAACCUUCUAGUUUCUUUACGGGAACUGUUUGUUGGUGACUCUAAAUAACUUUGUGUUGAUCGUAUGACCUUUGUGUCGACGACAUAUCUUUCAAGUGUCUGACUUAUCAACUUUAGACGGUACAUUAUAUGUCUACCGUGGUUGUAACGAGUACAGAGAAUCAGGGUUUGGUUCUGGAGAGGCCGCCUGAGAAACGGCGACCACUUCCAAGGAAGGCAGCAGGCGCGCAAAUUACCCACUCUCAAAACGAGGAGGUAGUGAAGAGAAAUAACGAUGUUAGUCUUUUAUAGGCUGAUAAUCGGAAUGGAAAAACUGUAAAUAGGUUAUGGAAAACUAAAGUUGCUGUGUUUAAAAAGCUCGUAGUUGAAUUUCGGGUAUUUGUUGCCAGUUGGUUUUCAUGACCAUAUUGGUUAACAGGUCCUCACUUACUGGACGGCUGGCGAUGAUCUUUAUCGAUUGUUGUCAGUUGCCAGAACGUUUACUUUGAGAAAAUUAGAGUGCUAAAAGCAGGCUCACGCCUAUAUAUAUUCAUGGAAUAAUGAAAUAAGAUCUCGAUUUUAUUUCGUUGGUUUUAGAAAUUGAGAUAAUGAUUAAUAGGAUCAGAGGGGGGCGUACGUACUGUGGUGUGAGAGGUGAAAUUCUUGGAUCGCCACAGGACGAACAGCAGCGAAGGCGUUCGCCAAGAAUGUUUUCAUUAAUCAAGAACGAAAGUUUGAGGUUCGAAGACGAUUAGAUACCGUCCUAGUUCAAACCAUAAACGUUGCCAACUGUCUUUUAGAUGCGGUUAUUUUUAUGACUCAUCUGGCGGAUCUCGAGAAAUCUAAGUUUUUAGGUUCCGGGGGAAGUAUGGUUGCAAAGCUGAAACUUAAAAGAAUUGACGGAAGGACACACAAGAAGUGGAGCCUGUGGCCUAAUUUGACUCAACACGGGAAACCUUACUCGGCCAGGACACUUUUAGGAUUGACAGAUUGAGAGCUCUUUCUUGAUUAGGUGGGUGGUGGUGCAUGGUCGUUCGUAGUUCGUGGAGCGAUUUGUCUGAUUAAUUUCGAUAACGAACGAGACUCCGGCUUACUAAAUAGUCUAAAGUUCGCAGGGACUUUUCAAGACUUCUUAGCAGGAUAAGUGGCACUUUUUAAGCCACACGAAAUGGAGCAAUAACAGGUCUGUGAUGCCCUUAGAUGUCCGAGGCUGCACGCGCGCUACACUGGAGAGUUCAGAAUGUUUCUUCCUACUUCGACAGGAGUGGGUAACCAUGAAAUUCUCUUCGUGACUGGGAUCGGAGCUUGCAAUUAUUCUCCGUCAACGAGGAAUUCCUAGUAAGCACUAUUUCAUCAGAAUGUGCUGAUUAUGUCCCUGUCCUUUGUACACACCGCCCGUCGCUACUACCGAUUGAAUGUUUUAGUGAGAUCUUCGGCUUGGUUUUCCGAGUGGCUUUCGGGUCGCUCGGUAUAUAUCGAAAAGAUGCUCAAACUGGAUCAUUUAGAGGAAGUAAAAGUCGUAACAAGGUAUUCGUAAGUGAGC
rnacentral:rRNA from 1 species